UUUUUUAAAAGAACUAUAUUUCGGUACAUGAAUUUUAUUUUACAAUAAACAAUUCAUGGGUAGUGUGCUUUGUUAUGGCAUAACACUUUGAGUAAACUUACAUUUACCGAAAUUUUGAAGUCAUCACUCGUUACCUGAAAUUGUGGAGAUGCACUUUAGUUGAUUUUGGUUCUUCUAAUGACCACCGAAAAUUUUCUCCAAAAAUUUAGUCACAGAACAGUUGCGUAGUGCCAAGCAAAAAUGCAAAACGUGACAUUUUUCUUGCCGAAUUUCGGCAAAAGCCAACAAAUAUUUCGAAAUUUCGGUAAAGGCAUUGGCUGAUUUCGGGAUAAUUGUUAAUCACUGAUGAGCACAAUAAUAUUAAAGGAUCGAGAUGACUACCCCGCGAUAUACCGGACGAUGCGAUAAACUCAUUGGAAAUUUAUUUCUUAGUUAUGAUUGCUGACAGAAUUGCGAACAGAAUCCAAGUCAUUUCAAUUUAGCAAUCGCGAUAUCGUGGUUAAUUAAAUUAAAGGUGACGAAGGACAUAAAUGACAAUAGGAUGGUGGUUGUUGAGGAUUUAUGCAUAAAGCCAUAUAGAGUUUCGACGACGUAUUGUUAGCAGUGGUUGAUAAUCGAUGUCAGUACAACCUUUUCAACCGAUUUAGGAUUUAUGGAUAACCGAUUGUGUAGGUAUAGAAUUUCGAAUGAAGAGUCUUUACUUAAUCAUUUCAAAAGGUGAAAAUAAAAAUCAAUU